CUCUGCUAGCCAGCACCUCUCCUAAACAGGUGUUCUACUCUGCUAGCCAGCACCUCUCCUAAACAGGUGUUCUACUCCCCUAGCCAGCACCUCUCCUAAACAGGUGUUCUACUCCCCUAGCCAGCACCUCUCCUAAACAGGUGUUCUACUCUGCUAGCCAGCACCUCUCCUAAACAGGUGUUCUACUCCGCUAGCCAGCACCUCUCCUAAACAGGUGUUCUACUCCGCUAGCCAGCACCUCUCCUAAACAGGUGUUCUACUCCCCUAGCCAGCACCUCUCCUAAACAGGUGUUCUCC